rnacentral:misc_RNA from 1 species
AGUAACAUGCUCCAUCUAUAUGUUUAUAAGUGACGUUUUGCGCUAAAAACGCAACAUCUGUUCGUUUCAGCUGAAUUAAUGCUCUACGCUUAUCUACAUUCCUUUUCUCUUCAAUGCAAAUUCACAUAUUUUGUUUCACUCUAACUGUAAAAAGUGUAACCUAGUUCAGUUAAAAAGAACAGAACACCUCUCUCAUGUCGAUGAGACUGGGUCAGUAACAACAACGCGACAUAACCUGGAAAAAGGCAUCGAUUAAAAAGCGAUUUUUGCGCUGCGUUUGACGGCGUGAUAAAAGUCGUCAACAUUCAGUCUCCAUCAGGAAACACGACGAGCCAGAACGCGAUGAAGGAACCCGAUGUGGAUCCGAAGAACAUAAUAAAGAGCAGAGAGCUGCUCUACAGACUGAUAAUCAGUCAACUGUUCUACGACGGUCAUCAGACAUUGGCUGUGCAGCUGUCCAACAUGAUACAAGCAGAACCACCCUGUCCACCCUCGGAUCGGUUACUUCAUUUAAUGUUGAUUGGUGUUGCUCAUGAACCGGAUCGUUCCAAGAAGGAUAACAAUAAUGCAUCCACAUUUGCCAGUAGCUUUGACAACACUUUAGGGCCUGGAUUGGAUUUGGAAUUUGAGACCGAGGCUCAGACUCAAGCUCCAGAACCAGCACAGUAUGAAACUGCAUAUGUCACGUCCCAUAAAGGAAAUUGCAGAGCUGGAGCUUUUUCCGCGGAUGGCCAAUUGAUAGCUACUGGCUCUGUGGAUGCCUCGAUCAAAAUCCUGGACGUGGACAGAAUGCUCGCCAAGUCUGCACCAGAUGAAAUGGCACCUGGGGAUCAAACAGGUGGACAUCCAGUCAUAAGAACUUUGUAUGAUCACUUGGAAGAAGUGACGUGUUUGGAAUUUCAUCCUAGAGAACCCAUUCUUGUAUCUGGCAGUCGCGACUUCUCGGUAAAACUAUUUGAUUUUAGCAAAGCUAGUGUUAAAAAGGCAUUCAGGACAAUUACCGACGCCGAUCAAAUCCGGUGCUUGUCUUUCCAUCCGACCGGCGACUUCCUCAUAGUAGGGACUAAUCAUCCAGUAGUUAGAUUGUAUGAUGUGAACACUGCGCAGUGCUUUGUAUGCAGCAUACCAAACCACCAACAUACAGCAGGGAUCACAAGUAUCAAGUAUUCACCAGAUGCGAAGACUUAUGCAUCGGCAGGAAAGGAUGGGAGUAUUAAGCUGUGGGACGGCGUGUCGAAUCGAUGUAUAAAUACAUUUGUAAAAGCGCACGAUGGCUACGAAGUAUGCUCGGUGACCUUCACGAGGAACGGCAAGUAUUUACUGUCCUCAGGGAAAGAUUCCUUGAUAAAAUUGUGGGAAUUAUCUACCAGCAGAUGCUUGAUAGCAUAUACAGGUGCCGGGACUACAGGUAAACAAGAACACAAAGCACAAGCUAUCUUUAAUCAUACGGAAGAUUACGUAAUGUUCCCCGACGAAGCCACUACUUCUCUGUGCGCUUGGAAUUCACGGAAUGCGUCAAGAAAACAAUUAUUAUCGUUGGGUCACAAUGGUCCCGUGAGACUAAUUGUUCAUUCACCAACAGCACCAGCGUUUCUAACAUGCAGUGAUGAUUUCAGAGCAAGAUUCUGGUUCCGAAGAAUGCCGACUCAUUAAUUUAAUAUUGUUUAACUCGAAAGUCAAGGGACAUUUCGCACAGGAAAUUACUUCCGAUCGUUUCUACUUUACGAAAAUGCGGAGAUUAACGUUGAGAAGAGGUUUUAGAUCACAAUUUUACAUGCGUUGCCGGUGUAAUUCUGAAAGAGAGAAAUAGUUCUGCUACAUCAAGCUAAUAAUAUAUAAACGAUACUUGGUAAUUCUCAGCGCGGUUGUGCACGUUCUAUAAUAUGCGCAAGAAACAAAAAAAAAAUCUAUGUUCUGACACAACAUAUGAGACAGCGUAUGAAAGCGUUUUUAAUUCAGGUAAGUACGUAAUUGAGACACGAGUCGAUUAAAGUUAAAUCUAAUCGACACACGUUUACGAGAAGGGUCUUCUAAAUUGCGAUCGCUUAUUUACAUGUGGAAAGGAGAUGCGAGCAUCACAAACUCGAAAUGGUUAAUUAAUAUCUCCGUCGAAAAUUCGAACGCAUGAAAAUUGUAACAUCUUCGAUCUUUGCCGUGUUGCUCUGUGUGGAUAUAUUUGUAUUUCUAUGUAAUUUUGUAAAAAGCAUUGUUUAUAUAUUUAUAACAGCAAGUUAAUGUGAUUCUACGCGAUUACAUGUAAAGUACAUUAGAGAAUUAUGUACGGUGUUAUUUUUGUGCAAAUAAGUAGGCAGUGCAUACAUUUUA